UACGGGGGGGGCAAGCGUUGUUCGGAAUUACUGGGCGUAAAGGGCUCGUAGGCGGCCAACUAAGCCAGACGUGAAAUCCCUCGGCUUAACCGGGGAACUGCGUCUGAUACUGGAUGGCUUGAGGUUGGGAGAGGGAUGCGGAAUUCCAGGUGUAGCGGUGAAAUGCGUAGAUAUCUGGAGGAACACCGGUGGCGAAGGCGGCAUCCUGGACCGGCAUUGACGCUGAGACGCGAAAAGCGUGGGGGAGCGAACGAGG
rnacentral:rRNA from 1 species